rnacentral:rRNA from 1 species
GGGAAAGCAGAGACAGGUGGUGCAUGGUUGUCGUCAGCUCGUGUCGUGAGAUGUUGGGUUAAGUCCCGCAACGAGCGCAACCCCUAUUGUUAGUUGCUACGCAAGAGCACUCUAGCGAGACUGCCGUUGACAAAACGGAGGAAGGUGGGGACGACGUCAAAUCAUCAUGCCCCUUAUAUCCUGGGCUACACACGUAAUACAAUGGCGGUCAACAGAGGGAAGCAAAGCCGCGAGGCAGAGCAAACCCCCAAAAGCCGUCCCAGUUCGGAU